GGCAGAAGAUUUUGCGAGCUAACUUAGAGAGAAGUUCUUGUGCAGGACUUGUUGCUUUUAUUAAAUCUGUGAAUGUAAUUGAUAGCCCUGAGUUUCUGGAAUAGGUUAGUUAACACUAGCUAGUUAAGGAUAUGGUUGGACUCAGUUUGACUUUUAAGUUUCUAUUUGAUGUUACCAGCUCAUAAGCUCUUAUCCAGCAGAAAGCUAAUUGUGCUUCUGCAACUCUGCAGCACAAAGCAAAUCCCCAUAAAUUUCUGGAAACCUUCUUCAUUGUAACAUCUCAACAACAACAACAACAACAAACCCAGUGUAUUCCCACUUCGUGGGGUCUGGGGGGGGUAAGAUGUACGCAGUCCAUACCUCUACCUCUGAUGAAGUAGAAAGGCUGUUUCCGAAAGACCCCCGGCUCAGGCACAAGAUAUCACACAAACACAUAGUAAAGCACAGAAGCACAUCUCAACUCUAAAUUUUAAGUUUUAACUCGUUUUAGGAACAGAGAUGUUGUACAGGUCAUAUUUACCAUUUGGGACUUGUUUGGGGGUUCGGGUUGGGAUCCGAGAAUUUCAGAUGAAUUUUGGAACCAAAACCCCACUUUGGACAGCACCAAAUGUUCUUCUGGCGCUGGUUCAACCCUUCGCGUUCGCAAAAGCCUGGGGUGCAAUCGCAAGGGAAGGGGAGUCUGGUCUGCGCGGUCCCGAGACCGACUGCAAUAGUAUAGGGUCCACGCCUAGUUGCUCAUCACUAUCGCAUGAAAUACAGUUGCGGUCGCGAAGAAGUCCGCACCAGGUAUAUAAACAGUGAUUCAGGAUUUUGUUUUAUUUCAAGACAUUUAGGGAAUUUUGUAUCUCGACC
rnacentral:lncRNA from 1 species